GGGGCUGUCUUCCGGGUGUUUGAAUGGAUUUGCAGGAAGAAGGCUCCCUUAAUUAAAAUGGCAACCUAGGUCCUCUCAGAAGCGAGGCGAGUAAAGGCUGCCAUCCAUUACUGUCAAUAGGUUCGAAGAACCUUAAUGCACAAGAACCAAAAACCAAGAGGAAACAGGCAGCUCUCUAAAUCAGAAAGGAACAACUUGCCCCACCUUGCUCUAGGCUGGUUCUUUGCAGACUGAAAGCUCAAAGACCCAGAUCAUACUUCUUCCUAUGGAGCCCACUAACAGGACCAGGAAGCCCCUGAAGAAUUUAAAGUGAUAGUUUAUCAUUUUAAACACAGAGUUCAAUACAACACAAUCUGUUUUUAUUAAUGGUCUGCAGACAACGCCUGUGGAAUCAAGAAUCUGAACUCCUGAGUAUGCUAUUUCCUUGCUGGGAUGGAAACAAAUGGACACAAAUUCAGGUUGUCACCUACUUAGUAUAAUUUAUUAUGAGUUGCAUACUCUCAAACAGAUAUGUUGAUGCAAAGCAAACUGAAGUUUAUUGCAUUAAUAUGCAGCGAUACUUUCAGAACUUCUGCAGAACAGCUAUGUGCAGAUUUGUAGCCAGACAACGGCUUAACCCCAGAUGCUGCUUUCAGCUCACUUUAAGGCUCUGUCUUAGCUCCUCUCAAACACACUAGGUUCAUUUUAUGCUGAAGUAUUCCAAAUUAAUUUGCUACUAACAUCCAGAACACCUCCAAACCAGCACCAGUCCAUCUGAGGUUUCUAGGUUUGUCAGAAGAGAGCCACUUAUGAUUUCUACCUUUUGAGACAAUGGAUGUAUCCUAUAAAAUAAUAGCAGCUAUCCAAGAAAACAUCACUUAUGUGUCUCAGCAUUAAACUAUGAACCCAUCCCAAUAGUUCUCUGGGAGUCCAACAGAGACUUUUAACAGUUUGUGUAGAGAUGGUGUAUCUCAAAAAAUAUCUAAUUAACAUUCCUUUCAUAUCUUUUUCAUUCUUUUUACAAUGGAAAAUUGUUGCAUACAGAAGAGUUGAGUCAAGGCAUAGAAAUCAAAAACACUUACAAAAAAGUUCUGUAGAACUAGAUGGAAAUCAAUCCAAUAGGAUUCUGUAGACAUUACUAUAAAAACCUAUAGAAUUUAGUGAAGAAUGUUAUUCUUUCUGUAGGUUUAUUAAAGCCAGAGACUUUAGUUAGACCAAAGUAGUUCAGUCCUCAGGAGAUUAAACUGUGUACCAAUGCUCAAUGCCACUGUAACUGCAGGGAAUUGACUAUGUGAGAUGUAUCUAGAUGAUCUCAACAGAUAAACCAUGCCCCAUGCUGGAGAGGAAGGCAAACAAGCCACUUAAUAACAUAUUAGAGAUUUAUUUUUAAAUCCUCAUUUAAAUUAUUAUUACUGUAGAUAUUUAGAGAAACUUCUGUAGAAUCCUAUUUACUUCAUCCGUGUUAAAUUCCAAAAGGAAACACGUUGUACGCUAUAAUUACCAGGGAAAAAGCUUUCAAAAAAUUUACAGAAUAAAUGUGUUUUAUUGAAUGGUACAGCUUUGCAAAGACCAGUUUUCUUACAUUCAGUCCAACAUGUAAAAUGUAUGAAAGAAGUGGGAACACUGUUAUGGUAGCUGAGUAAGGGCCAGGAUGAUGCUGAGUGAUUUCAUCACAUGUGACUAGAGAAUGAUUGUGUGAAAACUGCUAAAUAGAGUAGCAUGUACUCUGCAUCUUGGAUGACUAGAAUAUCACAGAAAUUAUGCCUUUUAUUUUCCUGCCAAAACUGCUCCAAGAGAAAUUAGUCCUCAAGAACCUGUGUUUAUUUCAUUUGUUUUCCUAAAAUUAUUUUAAAAAUAGCUCAGUGAAGAAAUUCAAGGGGGGGAAAAAGCACUAUCCCUUUAAGGGACAGUGUCAUAUACUCCUUGUAAACAGUAGGUUGCAGGGCUGCUACUAGCAGAUCAGGCUACUGUAGAGAUUUGGACUGGGUUAUAGAGCUUCCAUCAGGGAGAGAGAAAAAACAGAUGUUUUGUUUAAGACACUUCAAUGCACUGCUAGAAAUGGCUGUUACCAGCUCAGAUAAGAGUGUGUUUCACACAAUGUCUCUUAAUGGCUGAGUAUAAUACAGUUUUAGAAUUCCACCACAGACAGGCAGCAGCCUGCAGCCUGGGGAUAAUCAACAAGGCCCAGCCCUGGCCUAGGGGCUGAGAAAUAUGAACAAGAAGAAUAGAGAAUCCAGGCAAACUGCAGGGGGUGGGAGUUGUUCCCUGAGGCACCUGAAGCCAAGCCUAACCUGUUUCAGGGACUUCGCUGUGGGCUAUAAGUUUGGGAGUUUUGAAUAACUGUUUAGUGUAAUGUUUCCUGGGCUGAAUGCUUAUUAAAAGGGAUACGGCAUCUGCUCAGUGUAUAUUGUCUUCUCUUUGCCCCUGGCUAUUGAAGGAAAUCAAGAUAUGGCACACUGGGCUGCAGAGUGGCGGGGAGAGGAGAGCACUCAGAGAUGGCUCACACCUUUACAAGCUCUUACACAGCAAUGCAGUGUUUCUUCCUCCCCCCUCCCCCAUUGAAUAAUAGCUUGUAAAUGAACCUGUCUUUGUUCUAGAAGCUGUAUGAAAAAAUCUUGAUCAGAGUCAUCUAGAAGAUCUGAGAGAGACAAAGUAGGUGAUAUCUUCUAUUAGAAGUAUUAGAAGUAAUAUCUUCUAUUAGACCAAGUUCUGUUUAUGGAAGGUACCACCUUUUGAUCUUCACAGAGGUCUUUUGCAGGUCUGGGGAGGGAAACCAGCAUGACCUUCCCCAGACCAACAGUACAGCUCUGUGAAGCUCAAAAGCUUCCAUAAACAGAAGUUGGUCUAAUACAAAAUACCAUCUCACCUACCUUGUCUCUCUUGUAUGCUGGGACCAACAUAGCUACAACAACACUGCAAGCAGAUAGAAGAUAUAGCAGUUUUCUCCAUUACUUAUAUGGCAGUAGCACCCAGAGUCAGUCAGGACCAGAGUACUUGUGGUAUAGGCAUCAUACAGACAUGCAGAAAGAGUGAAGAAGGGCUUAGUAUUUAUCUUUAAAAAGGGGAACAAAGAGGAUCCAGCCUAACUUUGAUGCCUGCAACAAAUUAUUAAACAAUCAAUUUGUAAGCACCUAGGGGAUGAUAGGGUUAUAAGGAAGAGCCAGCAUGGAUUUUUCAAGAAUAAGUCAUUGCAAAGUAACUUAAUUUUCUUCUUUGACAGGGUAA